UCAGUGCUGGUGGCAGGCCUGAGUCAGCAGGGAAUGGUUUUCCUGCCUCCAUCUGCCCCAUGCUGGCAGCUCGCCGAGGCCCUCACUGCAGUUCUGCUGAACCCAUCUGAAUUCUGCCCAGCCUAUUUUGGGCUGGGAAACCCCUCAGUGCAUUCCUUUCCCCUUCUCAUCUUCCCUUUUUCCAGCAUCAAACCAUCUCACACAGGCGGCUCCCUUUCGCCCCUCCUGUGAUGUGUGUGGUUGUGUUCAACAUUUCAAACAAAAGCUGAGCAGAAGUGAAAGAAAGUACCAGAAAGACAAUAGGAGGUGGCUUCUACCUCCCGGAACCGGCAGUGACAGGAGCUGGGCCCUCACUUUGCCUUUCUGGAGGUUCUCACAGGGGAUAGAUGCACCUUCCCUGCCGUGGGCAAGGACUGGAACAGGCAGGCAGUGUCCUGAGGUGCGGGCUGUGCGGCAGGUGCAGAGCUUCAGCCCCGAGGUGCUGCUGGCCUGAGGGAGAGCAGGAGCUGGGAAAAUGAAACUCACAGCAGCAGCCGGCAUGUGAGGGAGCACCUUUAGCAAAACCCAGAGGUACAAUAAACCACUGCACGCAACAACCUGCUCCCAUGAUUUACAGCAGGACCGGCACCAGCUGUCCCGUGUGCACUGUGGCUGAACAGGUGAUGCCAUUGGAGUUGAAUGGGACAGAACCAGGGCCAUGCGGAGUGCUGGGGCUCCUUCCCAGCCCCCCGGGUGCUGCAGAAAGGCGUUGUGAGGCUGCCGGCCCUGCUCCAGGCAUGGGUGGUGCCUUUGCUUCCAUCUACCCCUUAUGGCUUUAUUGGACUAUUUAUUUGCUCGAGGUGAACAGCAGGUAGUUGAGGUUUACUGGUCUGCUUUGCAAACAGUUUGUUUGAUAACGGCGGGGUGUUUUAUUGCUGCCAGGAUGCUGAGCUGGUUUUGAGAGAUCCCUUGUGCUGCGCAUGGUGUGUGGCACAUCCCACCUGGCCGUGCUCUGCAGCAGUGUCCUGGGAUCACAGCAGCUCUCUGGGGGUCACAGCAGCUCUGGGCUGGGACUUCAGCACCAAUGAGGAACACGUUUUACAGCUACCAGGAGGGAACUGCGAGGCCACUAUUCUCCUAUGCAAUCCAGGAUUGCUGCAGGGAAACAUCCCAUGGAAAUGUCCUGUCCCUCUGCCCCAGCCUCUGGGAUGGUAUUUCCCCAUAAAGACUUUUGGCCGGCUUGAUAGCCCUGGAGGGGCUUUAUCUGGGUAUGAAUAAAA